rnacentral:rRNA from 1 species
AGAGUUUGAUCCUGGCUCAGGAUGAACGCUGGCGGCGUGCCUAACACAUGCAAGUCGAACGGUGCCCUUAUCUUCGGAUUGGGGUACAGUGGCGAACGGGUGAGUAACACGUUGGUGACCUGCCCCGAAGAUGGGGAUAACCCUUCGAAAGGAGGGCUAAUACCCAAUGUGCUUACACCGUUUAGAAGGGUGUAAGUAAAGCUCCGGCGCUUCGGGAGGGGCCAGCGGCCUAUCAGCUAGUUGGUAGGGUAAUGGCCUACCAAGGCUAAGACGGGUAGGGGGCGUGAGAGCGCGGCCCCCCACAAUGGAACUGAGACACGGCCCAUACUCCUACGGGAGGCAGCAGUGAGGAAUAUUGCACAAUGGGGGAAACCCUGAUGCAGCGACGCCGCGUGGGUGAUGAAGGCCUUCGGGUCGUAAAACCCUUUUCCAGGGGACGAGGCAGGACGGUACCCUGGGAAUAAGUCCCGGCUAACUACGUGCCAGCAGCCGCGGUAAAACGUAGGGGGCGAGCGUUAUCCGGAAUCACUGGGCGUAAAGCGCGUGCAGGCGGCUUGGUAGGUUGGACGUGAAAGCUCCUGGCUCAACCAGGAGAGGCCGUUCAAAACCGCCAGGCUUGAGGGCGGAAGAGGGGAGUGGAAUUCCCGGUGUAGCGGUGGAAUGCGCAGAUAUCGGGAGGAACACCCGUGGCGAAAGCGGCUCCCUGGUCCGCACCUGACGCUCAGACGCGAAAGCGUGGGGAGCGAACGGGAUUAGAUACCCCGGUAGUCCACGCUGUAAACGAUGGAUGCUAGGUGUGGGAGGUCUUGACCCCUUCCGUGCCGUAGCUAACGCGUUAAGCAUCCCGCCUGGGGACUACGGCCGCAAGGUUAAAACUCAAAGGAAUUGACGGGGGCCCGCACAAGCAGCGGAGCGUGUG